AUGAACGCCAAGUGAGUAAUACCAUACUUCCAGGAAAAGCCACUAAGCUUCAGUUGAAUAAAGACCGUACCGUAAACCAACACAGGUGGGUAGGAUGAGAAUUCUAAGGCGCUUGAGAGAACUCAGGAGAAGGAACUCGGCAAAAUAGCACCGUAACUUCGGGAAAAGGUGUGCCCUUUGUAUGUGUAGCGCUUCGCGCGUGAAGCAGAAUAGGGUUGCAAUGAAAUGGUGGCUGCGACUGUUUAAUAAAAACAUAGCACUCUGCAAACACGAAAGUGGACGUAUAGAGUGUGACGCCUGCCCGGUGCCGGAAGGUUAAAUGAUGGGGUGCAAGCUCUUGAUUGAAGCCCCGGUAAACGGCGGCCGUAGCUAUAACGGUCCUAAGGUAGCGAAAUUCCUUGUCGGGUAAGUUCCGACCUGCACGAAUGGCGUAACGAUGGCCACACUGUCUCCUCCUGGGACUCAGCGAAGUUGAAAUGUUUGUGAAGAUGCAAUCUCCCCGCGGCUAGACGGAAAGACCCCGUGCACCUUUACUGUAGCUUUACAUUGGACUUUGAUAACAUUUGUGUAGGAUAGGUGGGAGGCUUUGAAGUGGAUUCGCAAGAAUUCAUGGAGCCAACGUUGAAAUACCACCCUGAUGUUGUUGAGGUUCUAACCUAGAUCCAUUAUCUGGAUUGGGGACCGUGUAUGGUAGGCAGUUUGACUGGGGCGGUCUCCUCCCAAAUUGUAACGGAGGAGUACGAAGGUACGCUAAGUACGGUCGGAAAUCGUGCUGAUAGUGCAAUGGCAAAAGCGUGCUUAACUGCGAGACUGACAAGUCGAGCAGAUGCGAAAGCAGGUCAUAGUGAUCCGGUGGUUCUGUAUGGAAGGGCCAUCGCUCAACGGAUAAAAGGUACGCCGGGGAUAACAGGCUGAUUCCUCCCAAGAGUUCAUAUCGACGGGGGAGUUUGGCACCUCGAUGUCGGCUCAUCACAUCCUGGGGCUGUAGCCGGUCCCAAGGGUAUGGCUGUUCGCCAUUUAAAGUGGUACGUGAGCUGGGUUUAAAACGUCGUGAGACAGUUUGGUCCCUAUCUGCCGUGGGCGUUGGAAGUUUGAGUGGACCUGCUCCUAGUACGAGAGGACCGGAGUGGACGCACCUCUGGUGUACCGGUUAUGACGCCAGUCGUAUCGCCGGGUAGCUAUGUGCGGAAGAGAUAACCGCUGAAAGCAUCUAAGCGGGAAACUCUCCUCAAGAUAAGACUUCCCGAGGGUUUAACCCUCCUAAAGGUUCGUCGAAGACUACGACGUUGAUAGGUCGGGUGUGGAAGCAUAGUGAUAUGUUAAGCUAACCGAUACUAAUUGACCGUGAGGCUUGAUCC
rnacentral:rRNA from 1 species